AUUGGUUAUUGUGGUAUUCCAUCUAAGGAGUCAAGAGAAUCAAGCGACAAGAUAAUUAGGAGCUGCAAAUUCUUUGUCUGCAUUGUACAUAUUUAUAACUGGAGUUGAAACAGUGACCCCACUUGGCAUAGAAAAUAACAUCACUGUGAAAUUCAAGCAUGGAUGCAAAGCUGGUUGUAGAUGCAGACCAACAGCCUCUACCUGUGCUACAAGCUUAACACUCCCAGUUCAUAUUGAUGAUUCAAAGCAAUUUGAAGAUUUAAUGGAUGCUACACUUGCAGAAAGUUCUGGUUUUGGCUUCAUUUAAAGAAUACAGUAUCAAUUAUAUAUUUCAAAGACAUUUCUCUCUUAAAACGUUUUUAAUGUUAAGACAACUUAAAAUUUUUGUUAGAUAACACAAACAUUAUUUUGCAUUAGCAGUGCAAAUAAUUCUGAUGCUUCCUGAUAGUUUUCAGGAUAUUGUAAUCUUUGCAACUCAACCAAGUAAUGGAAAUAAUCUUGAAAAGUAUUAUCAUACAACAAUUCAUUAUGGCAAGCA